AUGCCUCCAUGGGCGGCCACCCCCGUGCUGCCCCUCCUCCUGCUGCUGCUCCUCGUGCAGGGGAGAGGAGGCCACGGCGCCAUCACCAUGGCCACCCUGGACAUGGACAUGGACAUGGGGGUGGAGGCAGCGCAGAUGGGCUCGGGCGCGGCGGCGCACGGGCGGCUGCUGUGGGCGACCGGCGGCGGGCGGAGGUACAUCAGCUACGACGCGCUGCGGGGGGACGCCGUGCCCUGCUCCCGGCCCGGCGUGCCCUACUACAACUGCCGCGUCAGCACCACCGCCAACCCCUACUCCCGCGGCUGCGAGUCCAUCACCCGCUGCCGCGACGACGACCCUUCCUAG
rnacentral:rRNA from 1 species